rnacentral:rRNA from 1 species
GCAGCAGCCGCGGGAAUGCGGAGGGGGCUAGCGUUGUUCGGAAUUACUGGGCGUAAAGCGCACGUAGGCGGCUUUUUAAGUCAGAGGUGAAAGCCCGGGGCUCAACUCCGGAACUGCCUUUGAGACUGGAAGGCUUGAACGUCGGAGAGGUGAGUGGAAUUCCGAGUGUAGAGGUGAAAUUCGUAGAUAUUCGGAAGAACACCAGUGGCGAAGGCGGCUCACUGGACGACUGUUGACGCUGAGGUGCGAAAGCGUGGGGAGCAAACAGGAUUAGAUACCCGAGUAGUCCCUGUCUCUUAUAC